GACGAACGCUGGCGGCGUGCUUAACACAUGCAAGUCGAACGAUGAAGCCUAGCUUGCUAGGUGGAUUAGUGGCGAACGGGUGAGUAAUACGUGAGUAACCUACCUUUAACUCUGGGAUAAGCCUGGGAAACUGGGUCUAAUACCGGAUACGACCAAUCUCCGCAUGGGGUGUUGGUGGAAAGCGUUAUGUAGUGGUUAUAGAUGGGCUCACGGCCUAUCAGCUUGUUGGUGAGGUAACGGCUCACCAAGGCGACGACGGGUAGCCGGCCUGAGAGGGUGACCGGCCACACUGGGACUGAGACACGGCCCAGACUCCUACGGGAGGCAGCAGUGGGGAAUAUUGCACAAUGGGCGCAAGCCUGAUGCAGCGACGCCGCGUGAGGGAUGACGGCCUUCGGGUUGUAAACCUCUGUUAGCAGGGAAGAAGAGAGAUUGACGGUACCUGCAGAGAAAGCGCCGGCUAACUACGUGCCAGCAGCCGCGGUAAUACGUAGGGCGCGAGCGUUGUCCGGAAUUAUUGGGCGUAAAGAGCUUGUAGGCGGUUUGUCGCGUCUGCUGUGAAAGACCGGAGCUUAACUCCGUGUAUUGCAGUGGGUACGGGCAGACUAGAGUGCAGUAGGGGAGACUGGAAUUCCUGGUGUAGCGGUGGAAUGCGCAGAUAUCAGGAGGAACACCGAUGGCGAAGGCAGGUCUCUGGGGCUGUAACUGACGCUGAGAAACGAAAGCAUGGGGAGCGAACAGG
rnacentral:rRNA from 1 species